AGUAGCGGCGAGCGAAGCGGGAAGAGCCCAAUAUGAAAAGCCAGCUUGCUGGCGUUGUAGUUGAGCGUCUUUGGGGUGUCAGUUUGGGAAAGUGGCAUGAGAGUGCUCACCGGGGAGGGUGAAAGUCCCGUCCAUCCCAUUCAGGACACCUCGCACAAAGGCGUUUCAGACGAGUCGGGUAGCUUGGGAAUGCUGCUCUAAUUGGUGGUAAAUCUCAUCAAAGGCUAAAUACUGGUGGGAGACCGAUAGCGAACAAGUACCGUGAGGGAAAGAUGAAAAGUACUUUGAAAAGAGGGUAAAAAGAACCUGAAACCGUUACGGGGGAAGCGGAUUGCGUUGGCCUGGUGGCUGCCUGUGUGUUCAGCCUUUUAUGGUGCAUUGAUACAGGUGGUUAUUCGUCGUGGCUUUUUAGUGGCUGAUAAUGAGCUGCUGAAGGGUGAGGGCUCCCCUUUUGGGUGAGGACGACGGAGUGACGACGCGAUACGACCCGUCUUGAAACACGGACCAAGGAGUCUAGCGCAGGUGCGAGUCAAAGGGUGUUAAAACCUGUGGGCGUAGUGAA
rnacentral:rRNA from 1 species